rnacentral:rRNA from 1 species
AUUGAACGCUGGCGGCAGGCCUAACACAUGCAAGUCGAAUGGUAACAGGAAACAGCUUGCUGUUUCGCUGACGAGUGGCGGACGGGUGAGUAAUGUCUGGGAAACUGCCUGAUGGAGGGGGAUAACUACUGGAAACGGUAGCUAAUACCGCAUAACGUCGCAAGACCAAAGAGGGGGACCUUCGGGCCUCUUGCCAUCAGAUGUGCCCAGAUGGGAUUAGCUAGUAGGUGGGGUAACGGCUCACCUAGGCGACGAUCCCUAGCUGGUCUGAGAGGAUAACCAGCCACACUGGAACUGAGACACGGUCCAGACUCCUACGGGAGGCAGCAGUGGGGAAUAUUGCACAAUGGGCGCAAGCCUGAUGCAGCCAUGCCGCGUGUAUGAAGAAGGCCUUCGGGUUGUAAAGUACUUUCAGCGGGGAGGAAGGGAGUAAAGUUAAUACCUUUGCUCAUUGACGUUACCCGCAGAAGAAGCACCGGCUAACUCCGUG